rnacentral:rRNA from 1 species
UACGUAGGGCGCAAGCGUUAUCCGGAAUUAUUGGGCGUAAAGAGCUCGUAGGCGGUUUGUCGCGUCUGCCGUGAAAGUCCGGGGCUCAACUCCGGAUCUGCGGUGGGUACGGGCAGACUAGAGUGCAGUAGGGGAGACUGGAAUUCCUGGUGUAGCGGUGGAAUGCGCAGAUAUCAGGAGGAACACCGAUGGCGAAGGCAGAUCUCUGGGCCGUAACUGACGCUGAGGAGCGAAAGCAUGGGGAGCGAACAGG